AAAAAGUUGUCCAAAAAAUAUUGAUUAUAUGUAAAACUUUAAUAUGUUUUCAAAAUAAAAUAAGUUUAUUUUAAUAUAUGUUCUUAAAAAAGCGGCUAUUAUUAGCAAAUUUCAGAAUAAUUACGAUAUAUAUUUAAGCCUUUUUUAACUGUGGUAACUUAAUAAAUAUUCACCACAGAAGAAUGUAAGGUGCAAUUAAGCAACUAUGUCAAAUAACGGGAUGCAGAAAAUGCUUAUUCAACGAAACUGAGGGCCAUGUUUAAAAAUUUGCAACACAAACUUCGUAAAAUAGUUAAUAUUUAAUGCUAAUUGCUCUUGAUAAAACUGCUCACACAAGAAUUUAAAAUACGCAGAGAAAACCUGUAGUAAAUAAAAAAGCUAUUUUAACCCGCCCACAAUGUGCAUGAUAUUAAUAUCGUUUUGGAAGGAUAUAAUUUUAUUAAUAGACGUCCUGAUUCUUUAGAUUGCGUACUUAAAUUCGAUUGAGUGAUUUAAAUUUAGAAACUGAUUUAUGUAUGAUAAUGAUUUGGAAAGUGAAACAAACAUUACGUUUCAAAUGAUACAAAAUUGUUUAUAUGUAAAUUAUCAUACUCCUACGAUCAAAUUGCUUUUAUCAGAGUAAAUGUUUUAGUGUGCAUCUAAUUGUUUCCAAAGCUAAUAUGUGGCCAGUAUUAUAGUGCUCAACACCAACAAAAGUUAGAAUCAUGGGCAAUUUCUUCAUUUGCAACGCCUCUAUUUGCAUUCAUUGAAACAAUUUAAAAAUAUUAAUAUAAAUACUUUGUUUAAAUAAAAACAUGAUUUUUUCUGUGCCAAA